AGUGAACGCUGGCGGUAGGCCUAACACAUGCAAGUUGAACGGCAGCACAGUAAGAGCUUGCUCUUACGGGUGGCGAGUGGCGGACGGGUGAGGAAUACAUCGGAAUCUACUUUUUCGUGGGGGAUAACGUAGGGAAACUUACUCUAAUACCGCAUACGACCUACGGGUGAAAGCAGGGGAUCUUCGGACCUUGCGCGAUUGAAUGAGCCGAUGUCGGAUUAGCUAGUUGGCGGGGUAAAGGCCCACCAAGGCGACGAUCCGUAGCUGGUCUGAGAGGAUGAUCAGCCACACUGGAACUGAGACACGGUCCAGACUCCUACGGGAGGCAGCAGUGGGGAAUAUUGGACAAUGGGCGCAAGCCUGAUCCAGCCAUACCGCGUGGGUGAAGAAGGCCUUCGGGUUGUAAAGCCCUUUUGUUGGGAAAGAAAAGCAGCAGGUUAAUACCACGCUGUUCUGACGGUACCCAAAGAAUAAGCACCGGCUAACUUCGUG
rnacentral:rRNA from 1 species